UAGGGUUCACCUGAUUGUGACGUUCCCAAUUCACGUUCACAGACUCUCGCCUCUCUCUGAAAAUAGCGGCGGCGGCGAUAUUUUGUUCUCCGGUCGAAUGCGCCGUGAACCACAAUCGCGCCACUCUCUCGCUCUCGUCUCUCCCUCCGUCUCAAUCUCUUAUCAUCGCGACGGCGGCUCCAAGACCUAUCCUCGCAAAACGCGAGCGUAACUCCUCUCUCUCUUCGAUCCAAUCGCCGGCCACCGUGAACACAAGAACCAUCACCUCUCAUAUCUUCUCUCAGUCGCAUCAUGAACGUCUCAGCAUACAGGGAUGUCGCUUCCUCUCACUCUCAAACUUGCUCCGAUCGAUUACCACGAUUUGAUUUCAAGCCUUUCCGAUUCGUCAUCACCGCCGAUGCUUUGAAGAAGAGCAACGAGAAAUUCAGAGCAAAAUAUCAGAUGAUUUGGUUGCGAUUGAAGAGAGUUUUUGGAGUGUUGAAGACGAAUUUCAGAUUCGAAUCGGUUAGAGAUUUUUGUUGUCUUGCAGAUUGAAGAUGAUCGGGGAAGAAGAUGAAGGAAGAAGAUGAUGAUUGUUGAAUUGUGAUCAAGAUUAUGGUGAGAUGAGGAAUGAAUGAAGAGUUUUUG